rnacentral:rRNA from 1 species
UACAGAGGGGGCGAGCGUUAUUCGGAAUUAUUGGGCGUAAAGGGCGCGUAGGCGGCUUGACAAGUCCCGGGUGAAAUCCCUCGGCUCAACCGAGGAACUGCCUUGGAAACUGUCUGGCUCGAGGCCGGGAGAGGGUAGUGGAAUUCCUAGUGUAGAGGUGAAAUUCGUAGAUAUUAGGAAGAACACCAGUGGCGAAGGCGGCUCACUGGCCCGGUACUGACGCUGAGGCGCGAAAGCGUGGGGAGCAAACAGG